rnacentral:rRNA from 1 species
AUCAAGACCCAUACCACCCUGAACAUGCCCGAUCCCAUCUGAUCGUGGAAGCUAAGCAGGGUUGAGCCUGGUUAAUACUUGGAUGAGAGGCAGGUUAGCAUCUUAAUGGAGGGUAAGUGGUUCCAGCAA